GGCGACGUGGCCAAGUGGUAAGGCAGAAGCCUGCAAAGCUUUUAUCAUCGGUUCGAGUCCGAUCGUCGCCUCCA
rnacentral:tRNA from 2 species